rnacentral:rRNA from 1 species
GGGUUGUGAGGUUAAGCGACUAAGCGUACACGGUGGAUGCCCUGGCAGUCAGAGGCGAUGAAGGACGUGCUAAUCUGCGAUAAGCGUCGGUGAGGUGAUAUGAACCGUUAUAACCGGCGAUUUCCGAAUGGGGAAACCCAGUGUGUUUCGACACACUAUCAUUAACUGAAUCCAUAGGUUAAUGAGGCGAACCGGGGGAACUGAAACAUCUAAGUACCCCGAGGAAAAGAAAUCAACCGAGAUUCCCCCAGUAGCGGCGAGCGAACGGGGAGCAGCCCAGAGCCUGAAUCAGUGUGUGUGUUAGUGGAAGCGUCUGGAAAGGCGCGCGAUACAGGGUGACAGCCCCGUACACAAAAAUGCACAUACUGUGAGCUCGAUGAGUAGGGCGGGACACGUGGUAUCCUGUCUGAAUAUGGGGGGACCAUCCUCCAAGGCUAAAUACUCCUGACUGACCGAUAGUGAACCAGUACCGUGAGGGAAAGGCGAAAAGAACCCCGGCGAGGGGAGUGAAAAAGAACCUGAAACCGUGUACGUACAAGCAGUGGGAGCCUCUUAAUGGGGUGACUGCGUACCUUUUGUAUAAUGGGUCAGCGACUUAUAUUCUGUAGCAAGGUUAACCGAAUAGGGGAGCCGAAGGGAAACCGAGUCUUAACUGGGCGUUAAGUUGCAGGGUAUAGACCCGAAACCCGGUGAUCUAGCCAUGGGCAGGUUGAAGGUUGGGUAACACUAACUGGAGGACCGAACCGACUAAUGUUGAAAAAUUAGCGGAUGACUUGUGGCUGGGGGUGAAAGGCCAAUCAAACCGGGAGAUAGCUGGUUCUCCCCGAAAGCUAUUUAGGUAGCGCCUCGUGAAUUCAUCUCCGGGGGUAGAGCACUGUUUCGGCAAGGGGGUCAUCCCGACUUACCAACCCGAUGCAAACUGCGAAUACCGGAGAAUGUUAUCACGGGAGACACACGGCGGGUGCUAACGUCCGUCGUGAAGAGGGAAACAACCCAGACCGCCAGCUAAGGUCCCAAAGUCAUGGUUAAGUGGGAAACGAUGUGGGAAGGCCCAGACAGCCAGGAUGUUGGCUUAGAAGCAGCCAUCAUUUAAAGAAAGCGUAAUAGCUCACUGGUCGAGUCGGCCUGCGCGGAAGAUGUAACGGGGCUAAACCAUGCACCGAAGCUGCGGCAGCGACACUAUGUGUUGUUGGGUAGGGGAGCGUUCUGUAAGCCUGUGAAGGUGUACUGUGAGGUAUGCUGGAGGUAUCAGAAGUGCGAAUGCUGACAUAAGUAACGAUAAAGCGGGUGAAAAGCCCGCUCGCCGGAAGACCAAGGGUUCCUGUCCAACGUUAAUCGGGGCAGGGUGAGUCGACCCCUAAGGCGAGGCCGAAAGGCGUAGUCGAUGGGAAACAGGUUAAUAUUCCUGUACUUGGUGUUACUGCGAAGGGGGGACGGAGAAGGCUAUGUUGGCCGGGCGACGGUUGUCCCGGUUUAAGCGUGUAGGCUGGUUUUCCAGGCAAAUCCGGAAAAUCAAGGCUGAGGCGUGAUGACGAGGCACUACGGUGCUGAAGCAACAAAUGCCCUGCUUCCAGGAAAAGCCUCUAAGCAUCAGGUAACAUCAAAUCGUACCCCAAACCGACACAGGUGGUCAGGUAGAGAAUACCAAGGCGCUUGAGAGAACUCGGGUGAAGGAACUAGGCAAAAUGGUGCCGUAACUUCGGGAGAAGGCACGCUGAUAUGUAGGUGAAGCGACUUGCUCGUGGAGCUGAAAUCAGUCGAAGAUACCAGCUGGCUGCAACUGUUUAUUAAAAACACAGCACUGUGCAAACACGAAAGUGGACGUAUACGGUGUGACGCCUGCCCGGUGCCGGAAGGUUAAUUGAUGGGGUUAGCGGUAACGCGAAGCUCUUGAUCGAAGCCCCGGUAAACGGCGGCCGUAACUAUAACGGUCCUAAGGUAGCGAAAUUCCUUGUCGGGUAAGUUCCGACCUGCACGAAUGGCGUAAUGAUGGCCAGGCUGUCUCCACCCGAGACUCAGUGAAAUUGAACUCGCUGUGAAGAUGCAGUGUACCCGCGGCAAGACGGAAAGACCCCGUGAACCUUUACUAUAGCUUGACACUGAACAUUGAGCCUUGAUGUGUAGGAUAGGUGGGAGGCUUUGAAGUGUGGACGCCAGUCUGCAUGGAGCCGGCCUUGAAAUACCACCCUUUAAUGUUUGAUGUUCUAACGUUGGCCCCUGAUCGGGGUUGCGGACAGUGUCUGGUGGGUAGUUUGACUGGGGCGGUCUCCUCCUAAAGAGUAACGGAGGAGCACGAAGGUUGGCUAAUCCUGGUCGGACAUCAGGAGGUUAGUGCAAUGGCAUAAGCCAGCUUGACUGCGAGCGUGACGGCGCGAGCAGGUGCGAAAGCAGGUCAUAGUGAUCCGGUGGUUCUGAAUGGAAGGGCCAUCGCUCAACGGAUAAAAGGUACUCCGGGGAUAACAGGCUGAUACCGCCCAAGAGUUCAUAUCGACGGCGGUGUUUGGCACCUCGAUGUCGGCUCAUCACAUCCUGGGGCUGAAGUAGGUCCCAAGGGUAUGGCUGUUCGCCAUUUAAAGUGGUACGCGAGCUGGGUUUAGAACGUCGUGAGACAGUUCGGUCCCUAUCUGCCGUGGGCGCUGGAGAACUGAGGGGGGCUGCUCCUAGUACGAGAGGACCGGAGUGGACGCAUCACUGGUGUUCGGGUUGUCAUGCCAAUGGCACUGCCCGGUAGCUAAAUGCGGAAGAGAUAAGUGCUGAAAGCAUCUAAGCACGAAACUUGCCCCGAGAUGAGUUCUCCCUGACUCCUUGAGGGUCCUGAAGGAACGUUGAAGACGACGACGUUGAUAGGCCGGGUGUGUAAGCGCAGCGAUGCGUUGAGCUAACCGGUACUAAUGAACCGUGAGGCUUAACCUUACAACGCCGAAG